rnacentral:miRNA from 1 species
CAUAUGUGUGUGUGUGUGUGUGUAUGUGUGUGUACACAUAUAUGUAUAUAUAUACAUACACACAUACAUAUAUAUAUUAGCA